GAGAGCCGUAUACGUCGAGAGGUGUACGUACGGUUCGGGGAGGAGUGCUUGGAAACCUGUCAUGGAAACAUGAAAAGGCGCCGGGUGCUUACUCUAC
rnacentral:ncRNA from 1 species